rnacentral:rRNA from 1 species
AGCGAACGCUGGCGGCAGGCCUAACACAUGCAAGUCGAGCGCCCCGCAAGGGGAGCGGCGGACGGGUGAGUAACGCGUGGGAACGUACCCCUUUCUACGGAAUAGCCUCGGGAAACUGGGAGUAAUACCGUAUAAGCUCUUCGGAGGAAAGAUUUAUCGGGAAGGGAUCGGCCCGCGUUGGAUUAGGUAGUUGGUGGGGUAAUGGCCUACCAAGCCGACGAUCCAUAGCUGGUUGGAGAGGAUGAUCAGCCACACUGGGACUGAGACACGGCCCAGGCUCCUACGGGAGGCAGAAGUGGGGAAUCGUAGACAAUGGGCGCAAGCCUGAGCUGGCCAUGCGGGGUGAGCGAUGAAGGCCUUAGGGUUGUAAAGCUCUUUCAGUGGGGAAGAUAAUGACUGUACCCACAGAAGAAGCCCCGGCUAACUCCGUGCCAGCCGCCGCAGUAACAC